rnacentral:rRNA from 1 species
ACAGGGAUUGCCCUAGUAACGGCGAGUGAAGCGGCAACAGCUCAAAUUUGAAAUCUGGCGCAAGCCCGAGUUGUAAUUUGUAGAGGAUGCUUCGGCGUCGGCCCCGGUCUAAGUUCCUUGGAACAGGACGUCCUAGAGGGUGAGAACCCCGUCUUCGAUCGGGUCGCCGUCGCCAUGUGAAGCUCCUUCGACGAGUCGAGUUGUUUGGGAAUGCAGCUCUAAGCGGGAGGUAAAUUUCUUCUAAAGCUAAAUAACGGCCAGAGACCGAUAGCGCACAAGUAGAGUGAUCGAAAGAUGAAAAGCACUUUGGAAAGAGAGUUAAAAAGUACGUGAAAUUGUUGAAAGGGAAGCUCAAGCUGCCAGACUUGGCCGCGCCUCUUCGGUGGCGCGGGCAGGCCAGCAUCAGUUCGGGCCGCCUGAUAAAGACCUUUGGAAUGUAGCUCCCUCGGGAGUGUUAUAGCCUUGGGUGUAAUGGGGUGAGCCUGGACUGAGGAUCGCGUUCGCUAGGAUGCUGGCGUAAUGGCAGUUUGCGACCCGUCUUGAAACACGGACCAAGGAGUCUAACAUCUGUGCGAGUGUUUGGGUGUAAAACCCAUGCGCGUAAUGAAAGUGAACGGAGGUGGGAAGCGCAAGCUGCACCAUCGACCGAUCCUGAUGUCUUCGGAUGGAUUUGAGUAAGAGCAUAGCUGUUGGGACCCGAAAGAUGGUGAACUAUGCCUGAAUAGGGUGAAGCCAGAGGAAACUCUGGUGGAGGCUCGCAGCGGUUCUGACGUGCAAAUCGAUCGUCAAAUUUGGGUAUAGGGGCGAAAGACUAAUCGAACCAUCUAGUAGCUGGUUCCAGCCGAAGUUUCCCUCAGGAUAGCAGUAACGUUUUCAGUUUUAUGAGGUAAAGCGAAUGAUUAGAGGCCUUGGGAUGAAACAUCCUUAACCUAUUCUCAAACUUUAAAUAUGUAA